AUACGUAGGGGGCGAGCGUUGUCCGGAAUUACUGGGCGUAAAGGGUGCGUAGGUGGCACUUUAAGUUGGAUGUGAAAUCCCCGUGCUUAACAUGGGAGCUGCAUCCAAUACUGGAGAGCUAGAGUGCAGGAGAGGUAAGCGGAAUUCCUAGUGUAGCGGUGAAAUGCGUAGAUAUUAGGAGGAACACCAGUGGCGAAGGCGGCUUACUGGACCGUAACUGACACUGAGGCACGAAAGCGUGGGGAGCAAACAGGAUUAGAUACCCUGGUAGUCCACGCUGUAAACGAUGAAUACUAGGUGUAGGGGGUAUCAACUCCCUCUGUGCCGCAGCAAACGCAAUAAGUAUUCCGCCUGGGGAGUACGGCCGCAAGGUUGAAACUCAAAUGAAUUGACGGGG
rnacentral:rRNA from 1 species